AAUGGAACUUCUAAUUUCUUUUUACCCCCGACAAAAUUCACUCCUCUUCACAGCUCUGCCCUAAUUUUCCUUCACCCCUCUUUUUACGCCGCUCGCCUGCAACUCUCUUCUUCCUUCCUCGCAUGCAACCCUCUUUGCAGCGCCACUCGCCUUCAACUCUCUUCUUCCUUUCUCACCUGAUAUGGCUUCUACGUUCUACCUAGCGGUUUCAACUAUCACCUCCAUCGUUGGCUGCUCAUCCAUGUCUGAGACGGCUUCUUCGCUGGCUGCUCAAUGGUUGCUUCUCUCUCUUUCUAAACCAAACAUAAUAUGAAUCACAAGUUUUUGAACAAAGCAUUCUUCGGGUUCAAGCUGCUGCUACUGUGCGAAGCCUAAAGCCACUAUUGACCAUCGCUCUUUUCUCGCCAUUGAAGCACAAUCGCUCAAAAAAGGAUGGAUCCACACACAUCAUCAAGCAUGGGCAAUGAGAAUAUGGGAGGCAAGAAAAAGCUCCAAUGGACACAGUGAGAAAAGGACUUCUCCAUUCAACUUAUGGAGAUCGAGACUAGGGCUACGGGCCAGGGGAGGUUUUAAAAAGGUGCAUAGAAACGUAUGGUAGACAUCAUGACAAUGAAAUAAGGGUCAAUAAACACCUUAACUAGGCUAAAAAGUCAUGGAGCAGUUUUUUUUGGCAAAUUUUGGAAGAGGAGAUGGCAACAACCAGGAAUGUAGUGCCCCUAAUCAGAGACAAUGGAUUGUUUUAUGGUCUUGGCGAUGUUAUUUCUAUUAUUCAUUGACUCAGUUGUUUUAUUUUGUGACCUCACGAUUUCUUCCAUGGCCAAUUAUUCUGUGUUUGUACCAUAUUUUUACAGAAUCUAUGUUUGAUUUUUUUAGUAAACAAUGUUUGUGUUCUUUUUAUUCGUUUCAUGUCUCAUAAUAGAGGCAUGACUGUUAGGAUUUAUCUUUUAUUAUGUACGUAAGGGUUAUUUUCUUCCUCUGCCACUUGUUCUAACCUGAAAUGGGUUUAAAUAUUUUUAAUAUUUUUUAGCUCG